rnacentral:misc_RNA from 1 species
GAUGAAGAACGUAGCGAAAUGCGAUAAGUAAUGUGAAUUGCAGAAUUCAGUGAAUCAUCGAAUCUUUGAACGCACAUUGCGCCCUUUGGUAUUCCUUAGGGCAUGCCUGUUCGAGCGUCAUUUAAACCUUCAAGCUCAGCUUGGUGAUGGGCGACUGUCCUCCCCUCGCGGGGGGACUCGCCUCAAAAACAUUGGCGGCCGGUACAUUGGCUUCGAGCGCAGCAGAAACGCGGUCUCGAGCCCGGUGGAUCGGCUCCCAUAAGCCUAUUCUUUUAUUUUGACCUCGGAUCAGGUAGGGAUACCCGCUGAACUUAAGCAUAUCAAUAAGCGGAGGA